UACAGGGGGGGCAAGCGUUGUUCGGAAUUACUGGGCGUAAAGGGCCAGUAGGCGGCCAACUAAGUCACACGUGAAAUCCCCAGGCUUAACCUGGGAACUGCGUGUGAUACUGGAUGGCUUGAAUUCGGGAGAGGGAUGCAGAAUUCCAGGUGUAGCGGUGAAAUGCGUAGAUAUCACUAGGAACGCCGGUGGCGAAAGCGACACGCUGGACCUCUACUGACGCUGAGGCGCGAAAGCCAGGGGAGCAAACGGG
rnacentral:rRNA from 1 species